GGCCACGUGGCUCAGCAGGGAGAGCACCGGCUUGUCACGCCGGAGGUCGCGGGUUCGAGCCCCGUCGUGGUCGCC
rnacentral:tRNA from 1 species